rnacentral:rRNA from 1 species
CGCAUCUGUGCAUGCAGCAUAUCAAUAAGCGGAGGAAAAGAAACUAACAAGGAUUCCCCUAGUAACGGCGAGUGAAGCGGGAAGAGCUCAAAUUUGAAAUCUUAAAGGGUUUCCCUUUACGAAUUGUAGUUUAAAGAAGUGUUUUCUGUUGAGGUUUUGGUAAAAGUUCUUUGGAAUAGGACAUCAUAGAGGGUGAGAAUCCCGUAUUUGACCUUUACUUUCAACUUUGUGAUACACUUUCAAAGAGUCGGAUUGUUUGGGAAUGCAGUCCAAAAUGGGUGGUAAAUUUCAUCUAAAGCUAAAUAUUGGCGAGAGACCGAUAGCGAACAAGUACCGUGAGGGAAAGAUGAAAAGAACUUUGAAAAGAGAGUUAAACAGUACGUGAAAUUGUCAAAAGGGAAGCGUUUGACACCAGUGUUGUUUUUCUGAAAAUCAAUUAAAGAACUGUUUAUGCUAAGCUGUUUAGACUUUAUCAGCUAACUGUUUAGUUUUGAGCUUUUCUUUAAUGCACUCUUCAGUUAACAAGUCAACAUCAAUUUCUUUUGCUGUAAAAAAGCUUGAGGAAGGUGGCUUGAGAUUCGUCUUAAGUGUUUAUAGCCUCUUGCCUAUGCAGUCGGAGAGAUUGAGGUCUGCAGCGUAGAUCCUUCGGGGCUAAAUGCAUUUGUGCUAAGUUAUAACAUUUUAUAGACAACUUGUUGACUAUGAUUUGUCUUGUAGCUUACUCGCUUAUGUUAUUUUACCUACGCUUAGGAUGUUGAGCGCAUGUCUCUCUCU